UACGUAGGUGACUAGCGUUGUCCGGAUUUACUGGGCGUAAAGAGCGCGCAGGCGGUCGUUCAAGUCGAGUGUGAAAGCCCCCGGCUCAACUGGGGAGGGUCAUUCGAUACUGAUCGACUCGAAGGCAGGAGAGGGAAGCGGAAUUCCCGGUGUAGUGGUGAAAUGCGUAGAUAUCGGGAGGAACACCAGUGGCGAAGGCGACUACCUGGACUGAUACUGACACUGAGGUGCGAAAGCGUGGGGAGCAAACAGGAUUAGAAACCCUUGUAGU
rnacentral:rRNA from 1 species